rnacentral:rRNA from 1 species
AAUCAACGCUGGCGGCGUGCCUCAGACAUGCAAGUCGAACGAUUAAAGCUCUCUUCGGAGAGUGUAUAGAGUGGCGCACGGGUGAGUAACACGUAAGUAAUCUACCUUUGAGUGGGGAAUAACAGUCGGAAACGGCUGCUAAUACCGCAUAACGCAGCGGCACCGCAAGGUGACAGCUGUUAAAGGAGCAAUCCGCUUAAAAGAGGAGCUUGCGGCAGAUUAGCUU